GGGUCGAUGGCGUAGCUGGUUAUCGCAUCUGUCUAACAUGUAAUACCCUGGUUGAGCAUUUGUCUUCACAGAAGGUCCUCAGUUCGAACCUGGGUCGACUCA